AAGUCGUAACAAGGUCUCCGUUGGUGAACCAGCGGAGGGAUCAUUAGAGAGUAUAAAACCUCCCUACCCAUGUGAACAUACCUACGUUGCCUCGGUGGCCUCGCGGCCGCCGAUGGCCCCCUAAACUCUGUUUUAUUUUGGAACUCUGAAUCUUUAAACAAAUAAGUUAAAACUUUCAACAACGGAUCUCUUGGUUCUG
rnacentral:misc_RNA from 1 species